CUUUUUCUUGCCUUUAAUAUGUGAAGUAUAAAUUUGACCAAAAUAAAAGGUAAGUGUAGUAUAAAGAUAGUAGAGGUUGGGUUGGAUCUGUAGUUUUAUUGGGAUUGUUUAGUUUUGAGAGAUUUGAAUAUAGGAACGAGAGCCAUUCUCAUACCUUUGAGACAGUUUGUUCUUCGAUGAUGACAUGUUGUUUCCUUUUUCAAUUUCUCAUUUGCCAAAAGAUGAGUUACGUGACCUUCUGAUGAUUCCCAAGUCGACAACACUACCUUCCAUCUCACUGGUUCAUGCGGCUCAGGUAUGUUAAGGCUAAGCCCUUCCUUCAUUUUGGCAUGAUCCAAGUAACGAUACGUAAGUGUAAUGUUAUUUCAUAAGUGGUUCUACUCUUGACAGUUAAGGAUAUCUAUGUUAUUCAUUUUGGUAAAGUUAUAUUAAAGCAUGUCUAAGUAUGUAUCUAGUUCCCUAUUGAGAUAUUAUGAUAGAGAUGUUAAUGUUUAUAAUAUAGUGAUACAUGCAUCUUCAUGCAUUUACCACCAUGCUACGGCCGGUCGGGCAGUUACCACCGGUUGGGAAGUUAUGUAUCAUUAUUUACCGCCGGUUGGGCAGCCAUGCAUAUUCAUUUACCAUCGAGCUACGGCCGGUCGGGCAAUCAUGUAUUUACUACCGAGCUACGGCCAGUCGGGCAGUUACAUAUUUACCACCGAGCUACGACCAGUCGGGCAGUCAUACAUUUACCACCGAGCUAUGGCCGGUUGGGCAGUUACAUAUUUACCACCGAGCUAAGGCCGGUUGGAAAGUUACCACUGAUCAGUUGGGCAGUCAUGCAUCAUACGAUAUGGAUAAUAGUCUCAAAGAGAAACAUUGUAUAUAUGUAAUUAUAAUAAGUAUGCAUAUACGGUGGCACUUCACAGAUUCAGGUUGAUUCUUAUAUGUCUUUAAUUAAUGUUAACUUACUGUUAUGUUUCAGUUCUGCCUUACAUACUCAGUACAUUAUUCGUACUGACGUCCUUUUGUUGGGGACGCUGCAUUUAUGCCUGCAGGUAUAGAUCAUCAGUUUGAUGGGCCCUCAUAGUAGACGAGAUUGGCAUUCAGCGAAGGAUCGGUAAGACUCCACCUCAUUCGGAGUGCACCCGAGUCUAUGAGUCAUCGUGUCAAAGUUUUACCACAGACUUAUGGGUAGGCCGGUACCCUGUCCCAUUUUAUAUCAAAUAAUCUUAGAGGCUUUGUAGACAGAGGUUCAUUUUGUACAGUAUGUCAGAGGCCUUGACGACCCAUAUGUAUUCAUGUUUUAAGAAAAAUGAUUCAGUGAUACAGUGUUUUCCCACUUACGCUUGUACAUUAUGAGUUGUGGCCAUGUUGGCCCAUGAUAGUUACAAAAGGAAUGAGUUCA
rnacentral:lncRNA from 1 species